CCUACGGGUGGCAGCAGUGAGGAAUAUUGGUCAAUGGACGCAAGUCUGAACCAGCCAUGCCGCGUGCAGGAUGACGGCCCUAUGAGUUGUAAACAGCUUUUGUACGAGGGUAAACCCCGAUACGUGUAUCGGUUUGAAUGUAUGGUACGAAUAAGGAUCGGCUAACCCCGUGCCAUCAGCCGCGGUAAUAUGGAGGAGCCGAGUGUCAUGCGGAUUUAUUGGGUUUAAAGGGUGCGUAGGCGGUUUGAUAAGUUAGAGGUGAAAUGUCCGGGCUCAACCCCGAAACUGCAUCUGAUACUGUUGGACUAGAGAAUAGUUGCGGUAGGCGGAAUGUAUGGUGUAGCGGUGAAAUGCUUAGAGAUCAUACAGAACACCGAUUGCGAAGGCAGCUUACCAAACUAUAUCUGACGUUGAGGCACGAAAGCGUGGGUAGCAAACAGGAUUAGAUACCCGGGUAGUC
rnacentral:rRNA from 1 species